rnacentral:misc_RNA from 1 species
AACGCACAUUGCGCCCCUUGGUAUUCCGGGGGGCAUGCCUGUUCGAGCGUCAUUUCAACCCUCAAGCUCUGCUUGGUCUUGGGCCGCGCCGGCAACGGCGGGCCUCAAAAACAGUGGCGGCGCCGUCCGGUCCCUCAGCGUAGUAAUUCUUCUCGCUGCUGGGCCCGGGUGGCCGCUGGCCAGGAACCCCCAAUAUUCUAUGGUUGACCUCGGAUCAGGUAGGGAUACCCGCUGAACUUAA